GAGCGAAUGGAUUGAGAGCUUGCUCUGAAGAAGUUAGCGGCGGACGGGUGAGUAACACGUGGGUAACCUGCCCAUAAGACUGGGAUAACUCCGGGAAACCGGGGCUAAUACCGGAUAACAUUUUGAACUGCAUGGUUCGAAAUUGAAAGGCGGCUUCGGCUGUCACUUAUGGAUGGACCCGCGUCGCAUUAGCUAGUUGGUGAGGUAACGGCUCACCAAGGCAACGAUGCGUAGCCGACCUGAGAGGGUGAUCGGCCACACUGGGACUGAGACACGGCCCAGACUCCUACGGGAGGCAGCAGUAGGGAAUCUUCCGCAAUGGACGAAAGUCUGACGGAGCAACGCCGCGUGAGUGAUGAAGGCUUUCGGGUCGUAAAACUCUGUUGUUAGGGAAGAACAAGUGCUAGUUGAAUAAGCUGGCACCUUGACGGUACCUAACCAGAAAGCCACGGCUAACUACGUGCCAGCAGCCGCGGUAAUACGUAGGUGGCAAGCGUUAUCCGGAAUUAUUGGGCGUAAAGCGCGCGCAGGUGGUUUCUUAAGUCUGAUGUGAAAGCCCACGGCUCAACCGUGGAGGGUCAUUGGAAACUGGGAGACUUGAGUGCAGAAGAGGAAAGUGGAAUUCUAUGUGUAGCGGUGAAAUGCGUAGAGAUAUGGAGGAACACCAGUGGCGAAAGGCGACUUUCUGGUCUGUAACUGACACUGAGGCGCGAAAGCGUGGGGAGCAAACA
rnacentral:rRNA from 1 species